GAUGGAAGAAUAUUAGAUUAAACUAUUUAAUCUAUAAAUAUAUAUAUUAAAUUAAUCUUAAAACUCUUACAAAUAGAUGUAUAAUAUAAAUUUACAAAUAUAAAAAAUUAAAUUUAAAAUAACAAGCAUGUAAACAAAAAACAGCAUGCUAUGAUAGAUCUAAUUUACCACGGUGAGGGUUCUGAACUCAAUACUUGAGCCUAGGUAGUCAAACUACAUGAUCGAGAAUGU
rnacentral:lncRNA from 1 species